rnacentral:rRNA from 1 species
UACGAAGGGGGCUAGCGUUGUUCGGAAUUACUGGGCGUAAAGCGCACGUAGGCGGAUCGAUCAGUCAGGGGUGAAAUCCCAGAGCUCAACUCUGGAACUGCCUUUGAUACUGUCGAUCUGGAGUAUGGAAGAGGUGAGUGGAAUUCCGAGUGUAGAGGUGAAAUGCGUAGAUAUACGGAGGAACACCUGCGGCGAAGGCGGGUAGCUGGGCCAACACUGACGCUGGAGGCGCGAAAGCUAGGGGAGCAAACGGG